rnacentral:ncRNA from 1 species
GGUUCUGCUACGCAGAAGCUGAUUUUUGCAUGCACGGAAUCACGGACUCGCGCACACGAUUCCGGAGAGGGAGCCUGAGAAAUGGCUACCACAUCCAAGGACGGCAGCAGGCGCGAAAAUUACCCACUCCCGGC